GCGCUUGGGGAGAGGCCUUACUCCUAUCAGCUUGUUGGUGAGGUAAUGGCUCACCAAGGCGAUGACGGGUAGCUGGUCUGAGAGGAUGAUCAGCCUCGAUGGGACUGAGACACGGCCCAUACUCCUACGGGAGGCAGCAGUUGGGGAUUUUGCACAAUGGAGGAAACUCUGAUGCAGCGACACAGCGUGAAGGAUGAAGGUCUUCGGAUUGUAAACUUCUUUUAUCAGGGAGUAAUCUUGAAAGUACCUGAUGAAUAAGGACCGGCUAACUACGUGCCAGCAGCCGCGGUAAUACGUAGGGUUCAAACGUUAUCCGGAAUUAUUGGGCG
rnacentral:rRNA from 1 species